rnacentral:tRNA from 1 species
CCGCCCGUAGCUCAGUUGGUAGAAGCGCGGAGCUUAUACCUCCGUGGUCGUUGGUUCGAGUCCAACCGGGCGGACAA